UGGUCAAUUUAUGUCAAUAUGAUGCCUGGUGACAUCAUCACUCUGAUGUCUGAUGUCAUCGAUGACAAUACUGAUCAUGUAUGACAUCAUCACUGUUUGACAUCCGAUGUCAUAGCCUACAAGCAUCAUUAGUGACAUCAUCUUUAUUAUUUUUUUCAUUUCCAUAAAUUUUAAAUGAAAUGAAAGGGAGCACAAAUGUAACCAGGAGUUAUAACCCAAUGGGCGCUAGGACCCAGGAAAUUGUAUCGACGCAAUGCGCAGCCGCUCUCCCUUCAAACACCCCGGAAGUGCAGCGCGUGUCAGCCAGGCCAAGCAAACACACUUUGAUGAGCUUGUCAGUCCCUGUCAGUACCCGAUCCCCUUUCCCUAACCACGCCCUAAACGCGCGCAUGUAUAUUACGUCACUUCCUCUUUGCCGCCAACAUUUGCGACGAUGGAGAGUUUUGGAUUUGAUUUACGUCAGCUGGAUUUGAUUUCCGACAGUUGGGUGAUCGGGUAGCCGAAACAGAGAUCCGACAACUGUAUAUUUAACAGCUGAUCGCCACAGUCGCUACUAUUCCAUAAACCAUAUUCCAAAAACAUCCAUUCUUCUCUCAGUAACGGAUCGCCUCCUUCAACAGAGUCACCACGUUCAAAGGAUGACAUGCAGGUACAAACUGAAAGAUGGAAUAUGUCCUGGACCAAAACCGUCCUCCAGGAGAGCUCAUAGUGAAGGAGGAUGAUAUCUGCUCAACCUGUGAAGACUUUUGGAUCCUGAGUUUGGUAAAAUGGAUGGAAUACACAGUAACUAUUGAGAAAAAUGUCUAC